rnacentral:rRNA from 1 species
AUUGAACGCUGGCGGCAGGCUUAACACAUGCAAGUCGAGCGGGGUGAUGGUGCUUGCACUAUCACUUAGCGGCGGACGGGUGAGUAAUGCUUAGGAAUCUGCCUAUUAGUGGGGGACAACAUACCGAAAGGAAUGCUAAUACCGCAUACGCCCUACGGGGGAAAGCAGGGGAUCUUCGGACCUUGCGCUAAUAGAUGAGCCUAAGUCGGAUGAGCUAGUUGGUGGGGUAAAGGCCUACCAAGGCGACGAUCUGUAGCGGGUCUGAGAGGAUGAUCCGCCACACUGGGACUGAGACACGGCCCAGACUCCUACGGGAGGCAGCAGUGGGGAAUAUUGGACAAUGGGCGGAAGCCUGAUCCAGCCAUGCCGCGUGUGUGAAGAAGGCCUUUUGGUUGUAAAGCACUUUAAGCGAGGAGGAGGCUACUUAGAUUAAUACUCUGGGAUAGUGGACGUUACUCGCAGAAUAAGCACCGGCUAACUCUGUGCCAGCCGCCGCCGUAAGAC